GUGCCAGCAGCCGCGGUAAUACAGAGGUGGCAAGCGUUGUUCGGAAUUACUGGGCGUAAAGGGCGCGUAGGUGGCCUUGUUAGUCAGACGUGAAAUCCCCAAGCUUAACUUGGGAACUGCGUCUGAUACUGCAAGGCUUGAGUUCGGGAGAGGGAUGUGGAAUUCCAGGUGUAGCGGUGAAAUGCGUAGAUAUCUGGAGGAACACCGGUGGCGAAGGCGGCAUCCUGGACCGAAACUGACACUGAGGCGCGAAAGCUAGGGGAGCAAACGGGAUUAGAAACCCCAGUAGUCC
rnacentral:rRNA from 1 species